GCUCACUGGCUCUGCACACAAAUAGAAGAUAUUCCAUUGAUUGUGUCUAUGUUGUACAAACAGUGCUCAUAGCACAGAUGGAAGGAGUUGCACAAUUAAUCUAAAUUACAGCCUGAUGUGCUGCAACCAAGCAGCUGCAGCAUGCAGGUACCACUUCUUCCUACUACACAAAGGGUAUGGGAAGUGCCUGGAUUCCCCAAAUGGCUGAGAUACCGGGAUAGACUAUUUCAUUCAGAAUAAGCUGUUGGCUGGGGGGAAGAUAAGAGAAUGAUCUAUGGCAGUGCAAGGUCUGUUGAACCAGAGGUGAGCUUUAUCAAUUGUUUUCUACCUUGGACAAGAUCAUUAAAUCCCAGUGAAAUCUUGCUGACUGCCCAAGCCCGACCUCAGGGAAACUCCCAUUGAAUUCCACUCAAAGCACAAGCAGUGUAUGGCUGACAUCAGCAAUCAAUGCCACUCUAGGGACAAAGGAGAGAGCUGGUGGCUCCAGAGAGCAUAGAAAUGCUGAGAAACGUUACCAUGGGCAGGCAGGACCCCUAGCUCACUGAUGCUGCAUCCCAAGACAAAAUUCACCAUUUUGACAUUUCUCAACACAGGGACAAGGGAACAGCAGCACCUACAGAAUUGAUGUGGUUCUACUAUCAAUACAAGAGGGCACUGCUUUGAAAUGGGAAAAAUCAGUAGGAAAAAAGCAGUGUAAGUCACUGGAACUUGUGUAAUCAUGACUGCUGGCAUAAUGAGUGAGAGGUCACCUCAAGGCAGUGACAUGGGGGAAGGAAUGAGAACAGACUAUGGCAUAUCAGAAGAGAUGGGGUUAUUAGAUAAAGCGUCCUCUCAGGCUCCACAAACAUUAAAUAAUUCCCAUUGGCUAUUAAAGAAAAUCGGGUUAGGAGAUCGGUUGGGGGACUUUUGUUUGCUUUAUUCUUUAAUUCUAAAACGUACAUUUAAGUCUGGCAAAAAUUCAGACAUAACCUGCAAUGCCAACGAAAGGAGCCAUUCAAGGGACGAUAAUGAAAAUUGAAAGAUGACCUUGAAAUACAUAGGUGAUAACUCACAUUCUUUUAGGAAAGUGUUUUCUAAAUGCAUUUAAUCGUGAUGGAGCCACUUAGUGAAGAUAUAAGGCUAAUCUAAAAAUUGAAAAUAAGAAUAAAAAUAAAAAGCAAUGAAGCAAAUUCUACCAAAUCUGCAUGUCAUGGUCUUGCAGCACCUCUGAUCACAGCAUUGCUGACAUUCAUUUGAGUUUCUGUACUCUGAUACCUUUUAUAUACCUGCGGGUCCUUCUCAUGCUCACCUUUAAUGGGGGGAGAGAAAGAAAAGAAGUCAGAGUGGGGAAUGUGCUGAUAGAUGAGCAGACAAAUACAUAUAGGGCAGAAAUGGAGCCUCAGAGCAAUGAAAUGCUCCAGGACUCCAACGAAUGUAAUUCUCCCAAUGAAUAUAUAAUUACAUUUUAUACUGCCAAAUUUAGAAAAACAUGUUUUCAAAGACCUUUCCUUCCAUCCCAAAUUGAAAACAAGCUCCUGUCUUACCGCAUAUCUACAGAGUCAUUGAUAGAAUCAAGUGAUUGAUCAUCCAAAACAGUCACCAAUGGCAAAAAAAAAAAUACAACACUAAAAAUUACCUUUGUUGUUUUUCAUGUUCAAAUCACAUUAUGAAACCAUUUCAGAGUUCCCACAGGCAGCUCCCUAUAAACCUCUCUCUCGUGCUUUAUCCCUUUGGAUGGGGCAGUGCACCUUUGGAUGGGCACCUCUGGUCCAUCCCGUGUGUAUAUUCUGCACACUCCAACUUGCUCUACAUUGACCCCACGGCUUUUAAAUCUCUUUGAAAACUUCUGAGCUUUAAUGCAGCUGAGAGCCUUGAGACAAGAAGGAGGAUUGCUUCAUCAAGACUUCUAGAGAGCUAUAUAUAGAUAUACAUAUUUUUUUUUUAACAAUAAAAUGAGUUUGCAAAAUGUAUUACUAAAAUUAUUGAUUUUCCUCCU
ensembl:lncRNA